CUUGUUUAAUUUUCCUCGCUCACAGUCUGCUUGUUCCAACACCCUGCAAUGACACGGGUGUUAACCGAGCACCGGGGACUAUAAUUAUCGGGGUUGAGAGACGAGAAGCUCCUGGUGGUGCAGCAGCUGCAGACAGGAGCGCCGCCCAAUCUGUCCCUGGAGAGGAGCCGCUCGGCCCGACUCGUGUCUGAAGAGCCGCCGGUUUUGAGCAAACUCUGAUGGGUCUCCUGUCCCUGGAUUUUUGGAGUUGAAUCCAAGAAUGAUGAAGAGUCUGAAAAGCUCCAUCUCCACCUGAUUUGCUGAGGGAACAAGAGGCUGACAAUGUCAUCGGAAAGGUGGCCUUGUGCAGUCCGAGGAAGGGUAACCACUUCUACCUAUGAGCCUGUGGUUUUCUCCACCUUUGGAAGGUCCUUCAGGUAAGAGCCCUGCCUUUCUGGAGUGGUGCCUCUGGUGUUGUUU
rnacentral:lncRNA from 1 species